AUUGAACGCUGGCGGCAGGCCUAACACAUGCAAGUCGAGCGGAUGAAGGGAGCUUGCUCCUGGAUUCAGCGGCGGACGGGUGAGUAAUGCCUAGGAAUCUGCCUGGUAGUGGGGGAUAACGUCCGGAAACGGGCGCUAAUACCGCAUACGUCCUGAGGGAGCAAGUGGGGGAUCUUCGGACCUCACGCUAUCAGAUGAGCCUAGGUCGGAUUAGCUAGUUGGUGGGGUAAAGGCCUACCAAGGCGACGAUCCGUAACUGGUCUGAGAGGAUGAUCAGUCACACUGGAACUGAGACACGGUCCAGACUCCUACGGGAGGCAGCAGUGGGGAAUAUUGGACAAUGGGCGAAAGCCUGAUCCAGCCAUGCCGCGUGUGUGAAGAAGGUCUUCGGAUUGUAAAGCACUUUAAGUUGGGAGGAAGGGCAGUAAGUUAAUACCUUGCUGUUUUGACGUUACCAACAGAAUAAGCACCGGCUAGCUUCGUG
rnacentral:rRNA from 1 species